AUUCACACUGGUUAAAUUGACACCUAGAGAUUUAAAAUUCAAAAUCUGCUUUUCUCAGUACUGAACAAAGAUUUUGAUUAAUAAUAUUGAAAAUUAUGUCACUCAAUCAAGCAUCAAGAACCUUCCUGCAAGAUUACUAUUGUCUUCAAAUUAUUGCUCAUGUCAUAUAAACUACGUGUCAAUAAGGUCUGAGAGACCACAGCUUUCCUGCUGCUCUUAACUCUUAUGGGUUUGGAUACAAAUCAAAAGUAGGGUUUAACUUCAUCUGGAAACUGAUUCCAGAACAUAAACAGAAAACAAAAUGCUCCCCCUUCCACUCCCUUUGGAAUUGUUGAAACAGACUGACAAAUAGGUGCUUUGCUGGAUGGUUAGAAGGCCUGCAGAGUUAAAGGGGCGCUGUGGAAUCACCGACUCCCUCAGUGGAAGAGUUGGGUAAUGAAGUUCCUUUGAAGUAGAAACACCUACCUGGCACUGGGAACACAAAGACAGAAAUGAAACAGAACCCCCAUUGAGGGAGUUUAAGUUCUGCUGGAGGGGUGCAACAUGGUGCCUAAGAAAUGAAGUUUGCUUGCCUACUCUAAGAAGGAGGACUUAAGUUCUGAUGAAAAAGUCAUUUGAUUACCCUGUUGUUGUUUCCUUCUCUUCUUAGUCCUUAACUUUGUCAAAGGAUUAAUCUUUC